rnacentral:rRNA from 1 species
CCUACGGGAGGCAGCAGUGGGGGAUAUUGCACAAUGGGGGAAACCCUGAUGCAGCGACGCCGCGUGGGUGAAGAAGCGCCUCGGCGCGUAAAGCCCUGUCAGCAGGGAAGAAAAUGACGGUACCUGAAGAAGAAGCCCCGGCUAACUACGUGCCAGCAGCCGCGGUAAUACGUAGGGGGCAAGCGUUAUCCGGAUUUACUGGGUGUAAAGGGGGCGCAGACGGCGCUGCAAGCCAGGAGUGAAAGCCCGGGGCCCAACCCCGGGACUGCUCUUGGAACUGGGUGGCUAGAGUGCAGGAGGGGCAGGCGGAAUUCCUGGUGUAGCGGUGAAAUGCGUAGAUAUCAGGAGGAACACCGGUGGCGAAGGCGGCCUGCUGGACUGCAACUGACGUUGAGGCCCGAAAGCGUGGGGAGCAAACAGGAUUAGAUACCCCAGUAGUC